UAACUGCCAUUCAAAGCUUCAAUUUUCAAAGACCCAUAAGAGCAAUGGAGCAAAAAUUGCUCCACUUGUUGACAAAAUGCAGGGUUUCCAAACAAUUGAAGCAGACCCAUCUUCAGAUCAUCACCAAUGGCCUCAAAGACAGUAACUUUCUUGUGCCCAAGUUCAUUAGCCAGUCCGCUGGCCUCAUUUCUCUCGACUAUGCUGCUCGUGCAUUUCUAAGCGUGGGCAACCCUAGUACAUUCCUCUGCAAUGCUUUGAUCAAAUGUUUCAUAGGAAAGACUCACAAAGAUGCCCUAUCUACUUACAAUCAAAUGCGGGCAUCGAUGAUUUCGCCAAACAGCUUCACUUUUACCUUCUUGUUAAGAUGCUUUGACGCUUUUGAAGACGGUACAGCAGUGCACUGCCACAUUGUAAAAUUGGGAUUUGAGUCGAGCGUGUUUGUUCAGAAUACUCUUUUGGAUUUUUAUGCCAAGUGUUGUGAGGAUUUGGAGAUGGCCCGUAAACUGUUCGAGGUAAUGCCUGAAAGAGAUGUUGUUUCAUGGAACACUAUGAUCCAAGCUUAUAUGGCUCACGGAGAGAUGGCAUCUGCUUUCUGUUUGUUUGAGUCAAUGCCUGAAAGGAAUGUUGUGACGUGGAAUUCAGUAAUUUCUGGGAUUGUGAAGGCUGGGGAUAUAGACUUGGCACAUUCUGUUUUCCAGCGUAUGCCACAAAGGAGUGAUGUCUCGUGGAAUACGAUGGUUUCUGCAUACAUAAAUUCGGGUGACUUGAGAACUGCACAAGCUAUAUUCGACGACAUGCCAGCCAAGAGUGUUGCCUCGUGGACAAUAAUGGUGUCGGGCCAUUCUAAACUUGGUGAUCUUGAAUCGGCAAGGAGGGUUUUUGAUCAGAUGCCUAUAAAAAACGUCGUCUCAUGGAAUGCUAUGAUUUCGGGGUAUGUUCAUAACCACAUGUUUGAUGAAGCUCUUUCUGUUUUUCACCAUAUGCUGAUUGAUGGGAAAUGCAAUCCUGAUCAGUCGACUCUAAUCAGUAUACUAUCCGCUUCUGCACACCUGGGAUGUCACGAGCAAGGAAAAUGGAUACACUCUUAUAUAAAAAGAUUCAAGUUUGACUUGGCAGUUCCCCUAGGGAAUGCUUUAAUAGAUAUGUAUGUGAAAUGUGGAGACAUGGAAAACGCGAUGUCAGUUUUUGUGAAUAUGAGUAGGAGUUGCGUUAUUACUUGGACUACGAUGAUUUAUGGGAUGGCUGUCAAUGGACAUUGCAGAGAAGCCUUAAAUCUGUACGAUAAGAUGUGUUCAGAAGGAUUAAAACCGGAUGGUGUUCUAUUUAUUGCUGUCCUUUCAGCGUGUGUUCAUGGAGGGCUGUUAGAAGAGGGCAAAAGGGUGUUUGAACAGAUGGUUCAUAAGUUUGGAAUCAAACCGAGAAUCGAGCAUUAUGGCUGCAUGGUUGAUCUUCUUGGUCGAACUGGCUGCUUAGAAGAAGCAAUGAGUUUUGUCGAAACAAUGGAUUUGGAACCUAAUGCCAUAAUCUGGGCUACAUUACUUUCUGCUUGUAAAAUUCAUAGAAACGGGGAACUGUUGGAGUCCUUAUCGAAGAAGAUUAUGGAGAAAGAGCCCAAUAAUCCUAGUUACUUAACACUAAUUACAAACUUGAGCUCAUCAGUUGGGCGGUGGCAAGACACGUUGAACUUCAGGAUGGCAACAAGACAUCAGGGAAAGGAAAAGUUGCCUGGUUGCAGCUCGAUUCAAAUCGGGAAUAGUGUACAUGAGUUCUUAGCAAAGGAUACGAGGCAUACACAACGAGAGGAGAUCUAUGGAGUCUUGGGUAUUUUAAAUGGGCACUUGAUGUCAUCACAUGACAGUGAAAUAAAGGCAAUGGUCAUUGCUUUUGAUUGAGAUAUUCCUUUUGCCAAUUAUAACUGAAAGGAAUCUUACAAUGUCAAGACAACAUAAUGCAGUUGAACUAUGAAGAAUCAUGGGAGCAAUAUCCUCAGGCUCUUGUCCAAGAAUACUUAUGGAUAUUCUGAGUAGGGUAUCCACUUAGACAGGCCGAGUAGGUUGUCUGAUCGGACCAUUGGUCAGGCGGCGGGGGUGACAGUUGGUUGGUAGCUAAGAGAAUGGAAGAACCAUGGGACCUGGUCGCGGGAGGUGCGAAUAUUUCAAGAUCUUUCUUUGUGUCUUAUUUCGUUUAAAGCACGUUCGUAUUGUUUUACAGCUGUGUUAUUGGCCCGCC